ACUAUGGUAUGGACUACUGGGGCCAUGGCACCUCAGUCUUCGUGUCCUCAGAGAGUCCAUCCCCUCCAAACCUCUUCCCCCUCAUCACCUGUGAGAACUCCCUGUCCGAUGAGACCCUGGUGGCCAUGGGCUGCCUGGCCCGGGACUUCCUGCCUGGCUCCAUCACCUUCUCCUGGAAGUACGAGAACCUCAGUGCAAUCAACAACCAGGACAUUAAGACCUUCCCUUCGGUUCUGAGAGAGGGCAAGUAUGUGGCGACCUCUCAGGUGUUCCUGCCCUCCGUGGACAUCAUCCAGGGCUCAGACGAGUACAUCACAUGCAACGUCAAGCACUCCAAUGGUGACAAAUCUGUGAACGUGCCCAUCACAGGGCCUGUACCGAUGUCUCCCAACGUGACCGUCUUCAUCCCGCCCCGCGAUGCCUUCUCUGGCAAUGGCCAGCGCAAGUCCCAGCUCGUCUGCCAGGCCGCAGGUUUCAGCCCCAAGCAGAUUUCCGUGUCUUGGUUCCGUGAUGGAAAGCAGAUCGAGUCUGGCUUCAACACAGGGAAGGCAGAGGCCGAGGAGAAGGAGCACGGACCUGUGACCUACAGCAUCCUCAGCAUGCUGACCAUCACCGAGAGUGCCUGGCUCAGCCAGAGCGUGUUCACCUGCCACGUGGAGCACAACGGGAUCGUCUUCCAGAAGAACGUGUCCUCCAUGUGCACCCCCAAUACAGCCGUUGGCAUCAGCAUCUUCACCAUCCCCCCCUCCUUUGCCAGCAUCUUCAACACCAAGUCGGCCAAGCUGUCCUGCCUGGUCACUGACCUGGCCACUUAUGACAGCCUGACCAUCUCCUGGACCCGUCAGAAUGGCGAGGCUCUGAAAACCCACACCAACAUCUCUGAGAGCCACCCCAACAACACCUUCAGUGCCAUGGGGGAGGCCACUGUCUGCGUGGAGGAAUGGGAGUCAGGCGAGCAGUUCACCUGCACGGUGACCCACACAGAUCUGCCCUCACCGCUGAAGAAGACCAUCUCCAGGCCCAAGGAUGUCAACAAGCACAUGCCUUCUGUCUACGUCCUGCCCCCGAGCCGGGAGCAGCUGAGCCUGCGGGAAUCGGCCUCACUCACCUGCCUGGUGAAAGGCUUCUCACCCCCGGAUGUGUUCGUGCAGUGGCUGCAGAAGGGCCAGCCCGUGCCCCCUGACAGCUACGUGACCAGCGCCCCGAUGCCCGAGCCCCAAGCCCCCGGCCUCUACUUUGUCCACAGCAUCCUGACCGUGAGUGAGGAGGACUGGAAUGCCGGGGAGACCUACACCUGUGUUGUAGGCCAUGAGGCCCUGCCCCAUGUGGUGACCGAGAGGAGCGUGGACAAGUCCACCGGGGGGGAGGUGAGUGCCGAGGAGGAAGGCUUUGAGAACCUGAAUACCAUGGCAUCCACCUUCAUCGUCCUCUUCCUCCUCAGUGUCUUCUACAGCACCACAGUCACUCUGUUCAAGGUGAAAUGACCAGCCAGCUAGGAGCGUCAGAGCCCCGGGAGAUGGAGCCCAGGGACCACCGCCUAGGGGUCUGGGGUCCCCAGCCUGUGGGGCCCGUCAACUUGUGCCUAAAUCUUUCCCACGUCGCCCCUCCCGCUUCCAGCUCGAAGACAAGGCUUCUCGAGACUUGGCCAAUGCCGGGACGCGUGGGAGCCUGCAGCCGCGGCUCCGCUGCGAGCGUUGCUUUGCAAUGUAUACGCGUGUCGCCUUGAAAUA